UACGUAGGGUGCAAGCGUUGUCCGGAUUUAUUGGGCGUAAAGAGCUCGUAGGCGGUCUGUCGCGUCGAAUGUGAAAACCCGGGGCUCAACCCCGGGCCUGCAUUCGAUACGGGCAGACUAGAGUUCGGUAGGGGAGACUGGAAUUCCUGGUGUAGCGGUGAAAUGCGCAGAUAUCAGGAGGAACACCGAUGGCGAAGGCAGGUCUCUGGGCCACUACUGACGCUGAGAAGCGAAAGCAUGGGGAGCGAACAGG
rnacentral:rRNA from 1 species